rnacentral:lncRNA from 1 species
AAGCUGUGCAGAAAUAAUACAAUGUUUAUUAAGAAAAUAAGAUUUACUAAUUUGUUUUAUUAUUCUAUUUCUUUUAAACAGAUUUAAUGACAACAGGCUCAACUUUUCACUCACUUGUAUGACUAUGAGCAGUUUGACCAAGUUGAAGAAGAUGACUCGUUUGUAGUCUUCCUCAUCAGCUCAUUCCAUCUACUGGCUUUAAAAUCAUUUAGUACAGAGCUCACCGUCUAGGUGUUCAUCCAGUGUUUUGUUUGCUUAUCAUGCAGGAUCAUUUUAAAAGGAAAAGUAUGUGUGUAUGAGUUAGAGCUCUGAUCCCAGGAGUCCAUGUAGAAGCUUCCCCUGAGAAAUGGAUCGUUUUUGCACCAAUGCUACUGAAAUGUGUGAAUGUGGUAUACCACGCGUCCCAAUAAGUGUAAACAGCGUCAUAGGCUACUUAUUUGAAAUGACCAGUACUCAUGACAUUCCAUUCAACUGAGGACUAAAUAUAGCCAACGUAGGCUGUGUUUGCCAAAUAGACUUUGAAGUAUUCUUCACACAGUCCUUCAUCGAUGCCAGUUUUCAGAUCGAAGAAACCCUUGCUCCAUGAAGUUUGUGAACACAUAUACUCAUGUUUUGUUUGAGAUUUUAAAGUCAUUCUUCAGUUUUGUUGGAGGAAUGGUUCUGUAUAUGCCCCGUGGAUCCCCAAAUCCACUGAUGUUCAUGUGUCUUGGGGCUUCCCAGGUGGUUCUAGUGGUAAAGAACAUGCAGAACAUACCCAUGCAGGAGACAUGGGAGGUAUGGAUUCCAUCCCUGGGGCAGGAAGAUCUCCUGAGGGAGAGCAUGGCAACCCCCUCCAGUAUCUUUGCCUAGAGAAUCUCAUGGAGAGAGGAGCCUGGUGGGGCCUAGUCCAUAUGAUCCCAAGGAGUUGGACACAAUGUAAGUGACUUCGCACAGCACAUGAUUCGUUGUCAUAGCUAAUAUAAUGGAGAUGACAUAAAAAGAAGCACCAGCGGGCGAAAGUCAAUAUCCAUCACUUUUAAACUUUGGAAUGUAUUGUGAUAUUUUACAUCCAUAUUUGUAUGACUUGAUAGUUGGAGAAUCGAUGCAUGUGAAGGCCUGGUUGUGUUAUAUGUAUGUUGAGGGAAGAUAUAUUUUUAUGUGGUUUGACAUAUAGGUCCCAUUUCAUUCGUAGACAUAUGCAUACUCAUCACUUAUCAUCAUUUUUUUUUUUUUUAAAGACCAUUGUUUGGAAAGGUUGUUGUCUAACCAUGAAAGAUGCUU